rnacentral:rRNA from 1 species
GAUGAACGCUGGCGGCGUGCCUAAUACAUGCAAGUCGAGCGAACAGACGAGGAGCUUGCUCCUCUGACGUUAGCGGCGGACGGGUGAGUAACACGUGGAUAACCUACCUAUAAGACUGGGAUAACUUCGGGAAACCGGAGCUAAUACCGGAUAAUAUAUUGAACCGCAUGGUUCAAUAGUGAAAGACGGUUUUGCUGUCACCUAUAGAUAGAUCCGCGCCGCAUUAGCUAGUUGGUAAGGUAACGGCUUACCAAGGCAACGAUGCGUAGCCGACCUGAGAGGGUGAUCGGCCACACUGGAACUGAGACACGGUCCAGACUCCUACGGGAGGCAGCAGUAGGGAAUCUUCCGCAAUGGGCGAAAGCCUGACGGAGCAACGCCGCGUGAGUGAUGAAGGUCUUCGGAUCGUAAAACUCUGUUAUUAGGGAAGAACAAAUGUGUAAGUAACUAUGCACGUCUUGACGGUACCUAAUCAGAAAGCCACGGCUAACUACGUG